rnacentral:lncRNA from 1 species
AUGUUCUACCCGCUCUCUCCAUCCAUCUCUCCUUCCUGCAGACAUCAACGAGUGUGCCAUGCAAGGCGUGUGCCAAGGGGGCGAAUGUUUGAACACGCAAGGGAGCUUCCGCUGUGCGUGCAAACCGGGACACGUCUUGGGCCCUUCGCGGACUCACUGCGUGCCAGAAAAGGGAGGCGAGAAGAGCCUGUGCUUCCGGCUGGUCAGCCCCGAGCACCAGUGCCAACACCCGCUGCCCACCAAGCUCACCCGCCAGACCUGCUGCUGCAGCGUGGGAAAGGCCUGGGGCGCCCGGUGCGAACGAUGCCCGGCCGACGGCACCGCUUCUUUCCGAGAGAUCUGUCCCGCUGGGAAGGGCUACCACAUCCUGACCUCGCACCAGACCUUGACCAUCCAAGGCGAGAGCGAGUUCACACUCCAGAUCCACCCGGACGGCACCACCGACUUGCAACAACCGCAGCAGCACGUGGAUCUGCCCACCCGCCCGCCUGCAGGCAGCGACUCCCAAGAGCCCGAAGCCAUCACUCCGCCAAUGUUACCCAGCUAUGUCACGACUUCAGAGGAGCAGCUCAUAUUCUACGUCAGCACCCCGCCGUUUGGACUGCGUUACCCUGGUGA